rnacentral:rRNA from 1 species
CAGUCGCCGCGGGAAUACGAAGGGUGCAAGCGUUACUCGGAAUUACUGGGCGUAAAGCGUGUGUAGGUGGUUGUUUAAGUCUGUCGUGAAAGCCCUGGGCUCAACCUGGGAAUUGCGAUGGAUACUGGGCGACUAGAGUGCGGUAGAGGAUAGUGGAAUUUCCGGUGUAGCAGUGAAAUGCGUAGAGAUCGGAAGGAUCAUCUGUGGCGAAGGCGACUAUCUGGGCCAACACUGACACUGAGACACGAAAGCGUGGGGAGCAAACAGGAUUAGAUACCCGCGUAGUCCCUGUCUCUUAUAA